CAAAGUGUAGCUUAAGUAAAAGCAUCUAGUUUACACCUAGAAGAUAUCACAUAAAAUGAUCACUUUGA
rnacentral:tRNA from 1 species